rnacentral:rRNA from 1 species
AACCCAGGAAGGCGAGUGAAACAGUUCCUGAAACCGUGUGCCUACAAGUAGUUAGUGCCUGUUAAUGGGUGAUAGCGUGCUUUUUGUAGAAUGAACCGGCGAGUGACGAUUUGUUGCAAGGUUAAGCGGAAAAAGCGGAGCCGUAGCGAAAGCGAGUCUGAAUAGGGCGCAUAAGUAAAAGGUCGUAGACCCGAAACCAGGUGAUCUACCCAUGUCCAGGAUGAAGGUAAGGUAAUACUUAAUGGAGGUCCGAACCCACGCACGUCGAUAAGUACGGGGAUGAGGUGUAGGUAGAGGAGAAAUUGCAAUCGAACUUGGAGAUAGAUGGUUCUCUCCGAAAUAGCUUUAGGGCUAGCCUCGAGGUAAAGAGUCAUGGAGGU